rnacentral:rRNA from 1 species
GUCGAGCGGACAGAAGGGAGCUUGCUCCCGGAUGUUAGCGGCGGACGGGUGAGUAACACGUGGGUAACCUGCCUGUAAGACUGGGAUAACUCCGGGAAACCGGAGCUAAUACCGGAUAGUUCCUUGAACCGCAUGGUUCAAGGAUGAAAGACGGUUUCGGGUGUCACUUACAGAUGGACCCGCGGCGCAUUAGCUAGUUGGUGAGGUAACGGCUCACCAAGGCGACGAUGCGUAGCCGACCUGAGAGGGUGAUCGGCCACACUGGGACUGAGACACGGCCCAGACUCCUACGGGAGGCAGCAGUAGGGAAUCUUCCGCAAUGGACGAAAGUCUGACGGAGCAACGCCGCGUGAGUGAUGAAGGUUUUCGGAUCGUAAAGCUCUGUUGUUAGGGAAGAACAAGUGCAAGAGUAACUGCUUGCACCUUGACGGUACCUAACCAGAAAGCCACGGCUAACUACGUGCCAGCAGCCGCGGUAAUACGUAGGUGGCAAGCGUUGUCCGGAAUUAUUGGGCGUAAAGGGCUCGCAGGCGGUUUCUUAAGUCUGAUGUGAAAGCCCCCGGCUCAACCGGGGAGGGUCAUUGGAAACUGGGAAACUUGAGUGCAGAAGAGGAGAGUGGAAUUCCACGUGUAGCGGUGAAAUGCGUAGAGAUGUGGAGGAACACCAGUGGCGAAGGCGACUCUCUGGUCUGUAACUGACGCUGAGGAGCGAAAGCGUGGGGAGCGAACAGGAUUAGAUACCCUGGUAGUCCACGCCGUAAACGAUGAGUGCUAAGUGUUAGGGGGUUUCCGCCCCUUAGUGCUGCAGCUAACGCAUUAAGCACUCCGCC